rnacentral:rRNA from 1 species
UACGAAGGGGGCUAGCGUUGCUCGGAAUCACUGGGCGUAAAGCGCACGUAGGCGGAUUUUUAAGUCAGGGGUGAAAUCCUGGAGCUCAACUCCAGAACUGCCUUUGAUACUGGGAAUCUCGAGUCCGGGAGAGGUGAGUGGAACUACGAGUGUAGAGGUGAAAUUCGUAGAUAUUCGCAAGAACACCAGUGGCGAAGGCGGCUCACUGGCCCGGUACUGACGCUGAGGUGCGAAAGCGUGGGGAGCAAACAGG